rnacentral:rRNA from 1 species
CGCCUGUUUAUCAAAAACAUAGCCUCUUGACCCCUACAUAUAAGAGGUAAGGCCUGCCCAAUGAUAUUAAUUUAAUGGCCGCGGUAUUUUAACCGUGCUAAGGUAGCGUAAUCACUUGUCCUUUAAAUGAAGACCUGUAUGAAUGGUUUAACGAGGGCUUGACUGUCUCCUUUCUCAAAUCAAUGAAAUUGAUCUCUCCGUGCAAAAGCGGAGAUGAAAUUAUAAGACGAGAAGACCCUGUGGAGCUUAAGAUAGUUUUAUAUAUUACGCCAAAACACCCCCCUUAAGAGGGGAAAAGCUAAUAAUCCCUGUAACCUAUCUUCAGUUGGGGCGACUAUGGGGCAUACUAAACCCCCACGAAGACUGAGAACAUCUUAAAGGUAACCUUAAUUUUCCCAAAACCUAGAAACACCCUUCAAAAUAAUAGAAUUUCUAACUUUAUUUGAUCCAAUCCGUUGAUCAACGAACCAAGUUACCCCAGGGAUAACAGCGCAAUCCUCUUCCAGAGUCCCUAUCGGCAAGAGGGUUUACGACCUCGAUGUUGGAUCAGGACAUCCCAAUGGUGCAGCCGCUAUUGAGGGUUUGUUUGUUCAACAAUUAAAGUCCUACGUGAUCUGAGUUCAGACCGGA